ACUCAAAUGAAUUGACGGGGGCCCGCACAAGCGGUGGAGCAUGUGGUUCAAUUCGACGCAACGCGAAGAACCUUACCUGGGCUCGAACGGCUGUGGACCAGCUGUGGAAACACGGCCUUCCCGCAAGGGACUGCAGUCGAGGUGCUGCAUGGCUGUCGUCAGCUCGUGUCGUGAGAUGUUGGGUUAAGUCCCGCAACGAGCGCAACCCUUGUCCAUUGUUGCCAUACUGUAAAAAGUGGAACUCGAUGGAGACCGCCAGCGACAAGCUGGAGGAAGGUGGGGACGACGUCAAGUCAUCAUGGCCUUUAUGUCCAGGGCUACACACGUGCUACAAUGGGCGGUACAAUGGGUCGCCAACCCGCGAGGGGGAGCCAAUCCCAAAAAGCCGUCCUUAGUUCGGAUUGCAGGCUGCAACUCGCCUGCAUGAAGCUGGAAUCGCUAGUAAUGGCACAUCAGAACGGUGCCGUGAAUACGUUCCCGGGCCUUGCACACACCGCCCGU
rnacentral:rRNA from 1 species